rnacentral:rRNA from 1 species
AGAGAGAGACAUGCGCGCAUAUCAAUAAGCGGAGGAAAAGAAACUAACUAGGAUUCCCUCAGUAACGGCGAGUGAAGCGGGAAGAGCUCAAAUUUGAAAUCUUCAAGGUUCUACCUUGACGAAUUGUAGUUUAAAGAAGUGUUUUCUGUUGGAGUUUUGGUAAAAGUUCUUUGGAAUAGGACAUCAUAGAGGGUGAGAAUCCCGUAUUUGACCAUUAUUUCCAGCUUUGUGAUACACUUUCAAAGAGUCGGAUUGUUUGGGAAUGCAGUCCAAAAUGGGUGGUAAAUUUCAUCUAAAGCUAAAUAUUGGCGAGAGACCGAUAGCGAACAAGUACCGUGAGGGAAAGAUGAAAAGAACUUUGAAAAGAGAGUUAAACAGUACGUGAAAUUGUCAAAAGGGAAGCGUUUGACACCAGUGUUGUUUUCUCGAAAAUCAAUUAAAAAAGGCAGGAUUUUGUGUUGUAUUGACUUUAUCAGCUUUCUGCACUCUUUUCUUGUCUUUUUUAAUGCACUUUUCGUUUAACAAGUCAACAUCAAUUUCUUUUGUUGUAAAAGGGUCAUUGGAAGGUGGCUUUCUUUUCGGAGAAAGUGUUUAUAGCCUUUGGCCUCUGCAAUCGGAGAGAUUGAGGUCUGCAGCGUAGAUCCUUCGGGGUUAGAUACAUUUGUGCUAAGUUAUAGCCUUUCAUAGACAACUUGUUGACUAUGAUCAGUCAUGUAGCUUACUCGCUUAUACUAUUUUACCUACGCUUAGGAUGUUGAUGUGAUACUGCGAGCA